UGUCUAUGUGAUGAGAUACUAUUUGGCUAUGAAGUUUAACUUCUGUGAAGCUAUUUUAUGUCAUAGUUACACUGAUAGACC
rnacentral:snRNA from 1 species